ensembl:lncRNA
GUUUAAUAUUUUAAUAGAGUCUGGACUUAAUUUAUAGAGCCCACAUUAAUGUAUUAAUUAUUACAACUUAUACUCUUAAAAUGUUCACCCGGCACAGCCAGAAGAGGACUGAUCACUCCUCUAAGCCUGGUUCCUCUCUAGGUUUCUUCCAAAAUGUUGGCCUUCUUAGGGAGUUUUUCCUAGCCACUGAAAUUCAACGCUGUUGUUGUUUGCUCCUUGGGGUUUCAGGCUGGGUGUUUAGUAAAAGCACUUUGUGAUAACUGCUGAUGUAAAAAGGGCUUUAUAAAUACAUUUGAUUGAUCAGUGCACCUUCAUGAAUUAUGGGUGUGGUAUAGGUGAUGACGUAAAGCUCUGUGCUCCCAGCAUGCAGAAAUGACAACAAUGGGCGUCUUUGAAGGCGUAGGCUCCCAGUCCUGUUUAUCUGUUGUUAAUAAAGCUACUUGGACAAACAUGCUUUCCUUUUCUGCUCGUUACAAAUUUGUAAAAAUGUUUGUUAUUUGCUGUUGUUGUUUUUUUCAAUAAUUUUCAUGGUACUCGCUAAGGUGCCAUUGGUGGCAAAAAUAAUCGUUUUCAGUCAUGUUAAUUAGCUACAAUUACUGAUAUGCUUGAUUGCUUUUUGUUAAGAAUUUUGCAGCUUUGGUACCCUUUAAAAUGACCAGAAGGAGCUAAACAUUCUUUAUUCUCUAUAUUCAGUAGAGUCUCUGGAAGAAGGAGGUGAUUUUAAUUAAGGACACCCACAGGCUGAUCUACAAUGGGUGCUCCUUGCUGCCUGUCUGCCUCCCGCUGGGACCAUAUGGAUCAUCCUCUACCUCCUCCCUAUAACCAGCUCCUCCAUACGGUUAGGUUUCACAGGCAUCACUGUCACAAAGCUGAUGGUGGAAAUUGUUUGUGUUUUAUGGGUAGAGAGAUCACUGAAAAUAAGCUCCUUCCAUCGCCUCCCACUCCCGGCUAAAUAAUAAUUAGUAUACUAAGAAGCCCUGGACUGUCACUGCACUCAUUGCUGUUAGCACACAACUGCAGAUUAUGGAGGCACCUUGACUGUUAUGCAAUACUGUUGGUGUAUAUUAGCAUGCAUGUGUGGGGUGGUUGUCCAGAAGGGAGCCAAGCUCUCUUUUCUCCUGCGGCAUGCAUCAAUCUAUUUUCUCUCCCUCUUACCCCCCUAAGAGUCUAUAUACUGCAUUAUACAGUAUACAGCUCCGGAAAAAUUAAGAGGCCACUGCACCUUUUUCUUUCCUUUCCAAAAAAGUGAAAAGGGAAGAUUUUGGGUGAGGAACAGAAGGGUUAAAAUGAAGACAUUGCAAAUUGAACACUUGUUCCUCACUCAAAAUUUUCCUUUUCGGCUGUAUAUUGUUUAUACAAUGCCUUGCAAAAAGUAGUCAAACCAAAGUAUGCAAAAAGUGAUCAAUUCUCAAAUUUUACUAAUUCAGAAAUUUACAUUUCGGUGAUUGAUUCGGUAAGUUUUAUGUUGGG